UUGGUUAAUAAAACAUGAAACCUGUGCUCGCUUAAUGUUAGUUUAGCUUUAAUUUUAUGUGUUUCAUUUUCCUGUUUGCAGAUAUAUUAAAAUUUAAAGAAUAGUUUUACAAUCAUUUGUUGGAUGUGUUUGUUUUUUCCUGAACAGUUUGCUGCAGCAACUCUUCUGCAUGUUAUGGUAAUUGAACUGUGCAGGUGCUGCUGCGACUGGUGCAUGGAUGUACGGCUCCUGAAUGACUGGUUCCAGCCUGAACACCUGCCUUCUAUAUAAAGCCUGGAGCGCUUCACACGCUUCCCCUAACAGCUGAUCAGCUGGGUGAGCUGCCGUUACUUUGAACACAUCGAUUUCUCCUGUUUUUGGACAGGAGGUCAGACUCUGUCUUUAUUUUGGUUCCUUUCCUCUGUGAGCUCAUGUAUGUUGGCAUCUAUCAGACCUCAGCUUUGUUUGAUUUACUAUUUUGGCCUCGGCUCACCCUGAUGUGUUGACACUCCUGUUCUGUUGUUUUUCCCUCAUUACUUUGUAAAUAAAUACCAUGUAAUGACCAGUGAUUGUUUCCUGUGGCUGCGUGGGUGUUGGUGGGGAGCAAGUGCCUCAUCCAUGCCAUCUCCUGGCCCGCAGACGGGUUGUAACAAUAGGGACUAGACAGGAGAGCGCUGAGAGUGUUUGUGUACUUACGUAGUUUGUUUUUCUAAAAGUAACCUUGUACUUUUACUCCUCACAUUUUCAAAAACAGGCUCAUUACUUUGCAUUCAAGAGGAGUUAUUAUUUGUUAGUGCGAGCCUCCAAACAUCAAACUGAUUCAAGUCUAAACAGUAACACAUGCAUGGCAGUCCUGUUGUGUAAUCGUCACCAGAGGAUGAUGCAUGAAAGAGCUGAAGUGUGUCAAAGUCAGGGGUUAAAACUGGGCUUCAUGAGCUGCAGGGCUUCAGCAUCUAGUUAGCCCCACAGAAGACGAGCGAACAUAAAGGGAGUAAUGUGUUACUGAAGGUCAUUUCAAAUGCAGCAUUUCUGCAAACACACAAAUUGUUUGUGCGCAGUUUGUGUAACAGUGUGUUGCAGCUAAAGGUCCAGCUGCUUAUUUGACAGGGAGAGAAAAGAAAGAGCUAACUUCACUCAGACAGACAGAUAAGACAGACGGGACAUGGCAGGAAGAAGAGAGCUUACAUUUAAAGGUGUGUCCAUCCACAGAGAGCAGCAGGUCAGCUGAUCACAGCCUGCACACUAAGAACAGCUGCUGGAGCUCUCAGGAGAAAUGAUUGCAAAGUCCCCUCUACAACGGAGGCAACAGCAAGUAGAUUUGAUUUGAUUUUCCUUUUUCUUCAGACUCAAGCUGAGUAUAAUUAGAAGCAAAGAUAGACUAAAGUUUGUUCCCCUCUACUGAUAUUAUUCUAUCAUUAUGUUCAUAUAGCACAGGGUUCAGUCAGCUUUGGACAAAAUAGAAGCGUCCUCCUUUACUUCCUUACUUUGAGCACAUUUAGAGCCUUUACUUUUUUUUAUUCGAGUAAAUAAGUUGAAUCAGUACUGUGACUUUUACUGGAGUAGUUUUUACUAGUAGUAUCUGCACUUCUACUCGAGUACAGACAAUCUAAACCACCCUCUGGUUUUUUAUCUAAUUAGGACAUUGUCACGGGUUCAACCAAAAUAACAACUGGUCCGGCCGGGUCAAGUCAAACGAUGAUUUUAAUGCACACAUGUGGGAGAUGAACACUGCACGCAGACAGCAUAAGAUCUCUCACCGAAAACCACACAACAAUAGUUUUUAUGAACAUCAGGGUAUUAGAACGCCCCCUCAUGUGUAAAGUAGGUACAAUACAAUCAAUGUUGACAA